AGCUCAUCAGCGCCUAAACCCACUUGGAAAUCUCUUUGGGGGCUGAAUUGUCCUGCAAAAAUUAAAAAAUUUGUUUGGAGAGUGAUCCACAGCGCUAUUCCAUGCCGGGCGUUAUUGGCGGAUAGACAUAUCAAGAUAAAAGCCCACUGUCCUUCUUGCAACCUAGGCCCUGAGACCAUUUGACACUUGUUGUUUGAGUGCCCAGUCGCCACUGAGGUUUGGAAGCUGCUUGGAUUGCAUAAGGUAACCACUAAAGCCCUGGUUUUGGACAGAUCUGGGGAAGUAACUUUAGAAUUCCUUCUCAAUCUUCCAGAUAAUCAUAUCCAUGUGUUGGGACUCCCCAAAUUCAGAGAAACAAUGCCACUUGCUGCUGGUUUUUGUGGUGGGAAAGAAGAAAGCUAA
rnacentral:rRNA from 1 species